CCUACGGGAGGCAGCAGUGAGGAAUAUUGGUCAAUGGACGAGAGUCUGAACCAGCCAAGUAGCGUGAAGGAUGACUGCCCUAUGGGUUGUAAACUUCUUUUAUAUGGGAAUAAAAUGUUCCACGUGUGGGAUUUUGUAUGUACCAUAUGAAUAAGGAUCGGCUAACUCCGUGCCAGCAGCCGCGGUAAUACGGAGGAUCCGAGCGUUAUCCGGAUUUAUUGGGGUUAAAGGGAGCGUAGGUGGAUUGUUAAGUCAGUUGUGAAAGUUUGCGGCUCAACCGUAAAAUUGCAGUUGAAACUGGCAGUCUAGAGUACAGUAGAGGUGGGCGGAAUUCGUGGUGUAGCGGUGAAAUGCUUAGAUAGCACGAAGAACUCCGAUUGCGAAGGCAGCUCACUGGACUGCAACUGACACUGAGGCUCGAAAGUGUGGGUAUCAAACAGGAUUAGAUACCCCUGUAGUC
rnacentral:rRNA from 1 species